GCCGGGCGUGGUGGUGCACGCCUGUAGUCCCAGCUACUCAGGAGGCUGAGGCAGGAGAAUUGCUUGAACCCAGGAGCUGGGAGUUGCAGUGAGCCGAGAUGGUGCCAUGCACUCCAGCCUGGGUUACAGAGGGAGACUCUGUCUGAAAAAAAAAAAGGGUAGCCCAGAUAAUUUUUUUGCCCCAGGCCAAGAUGGUGCCACUGCACUCCAGCCUGGGUGACAGAGGGAGACACUGCCUCAA
rfam:Nomascus leucogenys chromosome 21, whole genome shotgun sequence.